UCGUGGAUUUUCGCCCGUAUUUUCGGGUGCUUUGGCCGAGCACUCUCGGAAGGUUCCGGCAUCGAUCGGCUUCUUUCGCCUCUCUCUUUCGGGAAUCUCCGUAGAGCUUUCGGGCGUCUCCGCUGGGUGCAGAGCUGUUCCCGCCUUUUGGGGGCGCGGGCGAGUCUUCGCUGAGGUUGGAACCAGGCUCCCCUCGAAGUUGUUGAAAGGCAGAGCCUGGCCCCUGCUGCUGGAGGUUCUCCCAGAGCCAUCAGUGCCCACACAGUGCCUCCAGUGAUUCCAGUGAUAUGCUCUUCUUCUGUGGCAUAAUGGAAAGCUCUUUGGACAAGGAGGCCUUUCCUUUCAGCUCUACAUUUGUAGGGUCAAAAGAAAUGCUGAGACCUCCAUCAGCUUGGUCAGUGCUGACUUUUGUGAGAGUAAAUUGGCCGCAUUCUGGAUAGAUGGACUCUGAAAUAAUUCCAUACAUUAUCUUAAGCAGCACUACACAGCAGCACUGAGAUAGAGAGGCCUGAAGUGCUCAUUGUCUGCGAUGCUUUCAACAGGCACCCAUUCUUUGCAUGGAUCCAUUUGAUUUACAAUGAAUUUGAGGUGUGGAAGUGUUUGCGAAACACAGGAGCCGUGAAUCGCACAGAAGCUCGCACCACCACAACUCCAGAGCAAAGAGUAAAUUGAUUUCUCUUACCUUGCUAACGGGGGCUCCCUGAAGCAGCACCUGGGCAGGG